GGCCUUCCGAGGUAAGUCAUCAAAGAUGAUGUAGCUUCUGCCUUCUUAGCAGAAAUGCUCACUCUUAAAGGUGGAAUACAUGCUUCCUUGAAGUCUUCAGCCAUUCAAUUACCCUGAGGCCUAUGAGGAAGUCUUGAGGAAAGACUAUCUAUGGUAAAUCAGUUGCUCAAUCGAUAGACAUAGAUAAAUAAAUAAAAAGGGAGAGAGACGCCCCUGUCAGUCCCCAGCUGCUCCAGACCCCCACUGCCCUAAUCACUGUCUGACCAGCCUUCAUGGGAGACAUUCACAUGAGCCCUUUCUGAAUUCCCAACCUACAGAAGCCAAGUAAUGAUAAAAUGUUUACUGUUGUUUUAAGCCACUAGGUCCUGGGAUGGUAACAUAUAAUUAUAAUGGUGCACUUGAUGGAGACCGCCAAUGGAAUGGAGAUGCCCAUGAACUGAAACCCAUUUACCAUCCCUUGCCCAACUGUAUCAUGCUGGCUCUGCUACCUUUCCGGAAAAUUACCUCACCAAGAUGUUCCCAUCUUACCAUCAUGCCCCACCCCGCAACCUCCCAGAAAAAGCAUAAGAAAAAUAUGAGAAAAUAAUCUACAACGGAGUGCCAGGGCAGCCUUAGAGCAGCCUACAUCCUGUCUUCUGGUCCAUAUCAGCCCCCGCUUGACAUGUCCAGGCAACACACCUUUCAGCAAGUGCCCCAGAAUUGUCUGCGCUACACAAGCCCCUCCAAAGUCUAAAGGAGAGUUAAUUACUUUCUACAUCUUUCUAUGAUCUUAGAGAUGUGCAACACUGUGAUCACAUACAGGCUUCACCUUAUUUUUUCUUGGCACUCACUUGCCUCUCUCCUCGCGGUCCCCCACACACAACCCAUCUCCAAGGUAACUCAUGUUAACUGCUUACAUGCAUCCAUGUACCCUUCCGUAUUUCCAUCUGUGCCCAAAUAACUCUACACAGCCAGAAGCACGCGUACAUUACCAUAUAAAAAGCUAAUGCUUUUAAACUCAUUAGUCACACAGACUGUAACUGCCACUGCUGAAGGCAAGCCACACCUCCAUGCCUUCUCUUCCUCCCCAUUUACCCUUUGAUGCAAUCCCAGCCCCCUUUUCUCCCUCUCCUGGGGCUUACUUCAAUUCAGAUCAUUUGGAGCCAUGACAUUGCUAUUUAGGUAUUCAUCUUUCCAUCCCUCUUUCCGUCCUUCCAUCAUGCUCUUCCUAGCAAUGCUUAUUGUUAUUCUUUUGAUUUCUUCUCAAGGAACUGGGGCAAACAAGUGAAAGCUGGACAUUUAAGCAGAAACUCAGAGGAUUGCUUGGCAAAGUCUCUUGUCCUUCUUGAUUGGGAGAACAGACAAUGCCUCACUGGAGGGCUCAUCACUGACCUCGCCCUUCAGGAAUUGCUCUGCUGCUGCUUUCGUAUCUGCUACACAUUCCAGAAGGCAAGGUAGAAAAACACUAUUAGCUUUUCCAGCUAUCAUUGUCCUAUUGUCACCAUAGCGACAGAUGUUAUGUGAAAUCAGCUGCUUUAUUGUGAAAACAAUGUAGGUUGGAAACUAGCCUUGGGGAAGUUGCAAAGAACAUGAGAUUUAAUUCUGAUAUACUCCCCCAUGGAUUCUUUUCUAUAUUAGUUUUUAUUUUAAAUAAACUUUAUUGCACAACAAUAAUAUAAAAUAAA
rnacentral:lncRNA from 12 species